CCUACGGGGGGCAGCAGUGAGGAAUAUUGGUCAAUGGACGAGAGUCUGAACCAGCCAAGUAGCGUGAAGGAUGACUGCCCUAUGGGUUGUAAACUUCUUUUAUAUGGGAAUAAAAUGUUCCACGUGUGGGAUUUUGUAUGUACCAUAUGAAUAAGGAUCGGCUAACUCCGUGCCAGCAGCCGCGGUAAUACGGAGGAUCCGAGCGUUAUCCGGAUUUAUUGGGUGUAAAGGGAGCGUAGGUGGAUUGUUAAGUCAGUUGUGAAAGUUUGCGGCUCAACCGUAAAAUUGCAGUUGAAACUGGCAGUCUUGAGUACAGUAGAGGUGAGCGGAAUUCGUGGUGUAGCGGUGAAAUGCUUAGAUAUCACGAAGAACUCCGAUUGCGAAGGCAGUUCACUGGACUGCAACUGACACUGAGGCUCGAAAGUGUGGGUAUCAAACAGGAUUAGAUACCCCAGUAGUC
rnacentral:rRNA from 1 species